GAGGGUGUCCCUCGGGCAGAGCAGCCCAGAAAAGCGAGCGAGGAGGAGUCAAGGGAAUUCCCCGAGCGGCGGCACUCUUUUCAGGAGAGAGAGAGCUCUCUUCAAGCCCACGAGCCCGGCGCAAAUGGCAGCAUCCAGUUUCAAAUUCUCAGAUUACGAUGCCUGGUUAGUUUCCCAAGGAGAACUCCAGAGGAGAAGGCGCCUCUCAGUGGCCUAGAUGCAGAAUUAUCCCUGUACUUCUGGAAAAAGACAUCACACGUUAACGACUAACACAGAGAUAACUAUCAUGAGAAAUGUUUUGACUGAGAAACCGGUAAAGGCAAGUUAGAAGUACUUUUGGCCUGUGCUUAUGUGCUUACUUUAUCAGCAACUCUCAUAUUGAUUCACUUAAGAAUAUCCCCAUGUUCUCUGCAGGCUGUUUGGGUUAAAAACAGUACAGGAUGGUGUUUAAACACAAACAAGUGCCAUUCUGAAGUGUUUGUUUAUCAGUUCAUUAAAACAGUUUUAUUCUCAGUG